rnacentral:misc_RNA from 1 species
GAUGAAGAACGCAGCGAAAUGCGAUAAGUAGUGUGAAUUGCAGAAUUCAGUGAAUCAUCGAAUCUUUGAACGCACAUUGCGCCCUUUGGUAUUCCAAAGGGCAUGCCUGUUCGAGCGUCAUUUGUACCCUCAAGCUUUGCUUGGUGUUGGGCGUCUUGUCUCUAGCUUUGCUGGAGACUCGCCUUAAAGUAAUUGGCAGCCGGCCUACUGGUUUCGGAGCGCAGCACAAGUCGCACUCUCUAUCAGCAAAGGUCUAGCAUCCAUUAAGCCUUUUUUUUCAACUUUUGACCUCGGAUCAGGUAGGGAUACCCGCUGAACUUAAGCAUAUCAAUAGCGGAGGA